UAGGGCGUGACCAAGCGGUAAGGCGGCGGGUUUUGGUCUAGUUAUUUGGAGGUUCAAAUCCUUCCAUCCCAG
rnacentral:tRNA from 1 species